CCAUGAAGCUGGAUUCGCUAGUAAUCGCGCAUCAGCCACGGCGCGGUGAAUACGUUCCCGGGCCUUGUACACACCGCCCGUCAAGCCAUGGGAGCCGGGGGUGCCUGAAGGCCGUGACCGCGAGGAGCGGCCUAGGGUAAAACUGGUGACUGGGGCUAAGUCGUAACAAGGUAGC
rnacentral:rRNA from 1 species